AAUUAUGUUAGCCAAAGAAGGAACAUUACAUUUUUAAUAAUCAUUACAUUACUAUCCAUCCAUGAACACUCCUUCAAUGGUAACUUAAUUAAGAAUCCAGUCCUACUUGGUCAAACUGAAGCCAAAAAUCCAAGUUGAAAUUGCUACAUAUGAUGAUGGACAUUAUGUGGUGAGCUAUGUACAGUGGAGGGCCAUAUAUUGAACUAUUGCAAAGUAUUGCCGAGUAGAUGCCAUCGCCUAUGAGGGCAACAGAAGCAGCACAGGAACUGGGUAUAAAGAGUCAACCCAUCCUAUUUCAAUCUCAAUAUCCAUGCUAUCAUGUAAGAAUUGUAAUCUGUCUAUAUCAAUGAUGAUAAAUUUUCAACGGAAUUCCUGCGAGAAUUUUUAGGAUCGUAGCAAUAUUAAAUUUUACGGUUCUAAAGGAGUACAGUGCAACCUUUUUCAAGAAUAACAUACUGAUUUUUUCCUACUCUAGGUAUGUUAAGGCUAUCCUUUCUUUCUUUUUGGCACGAUCUAAGUUAUACAGAAGAAAUGAGCAAAUACACAGUGCUCAUAAAUGACUCUUUUCAUAGAAAUACUCGGGGUCUCUGUGUUCUUGAUUACCCAUGUGACAUAUUAUUAUAUCUUCUGUUCAUGGGUCUCAAAAUAAUAUGCAGUUGAAAAAGUUUUUCCGGAAGGAGUAUUGAGAUUAUUACAUAUUUUUCAUGCAUUUCAUUCAUUUAACAUGUACAUUGACCCAUGACCAUGUGGCGUUAUAUACGCGUAUUUAUAUGUGUAUAUAUAUAUAUGGGAAAAAAGUUACGGCAUUAUAUAUGUACCACCACCUGAUCGCUUGGUAUAUAUUGAUGAAGUUGCCCAUAGUGGUUGAGAUGAUAUAAUGGGAUGCCCUCAGUGGCUUGAUGAUGUUAUGUACACCUAUACACAUGCAUGGCACGACAUUUAUAUACACAUGCAUAACAUUAUAAAUGCUUCAUAAUUUACAAAGUUACUUAGAUUUACAGAUGGAUUUCUUGAUUCCAUGCUUUAUCUAUGCCUUUUACGUACUAAUUUUCAUGCCUUAUAUACUCAGUAUAUUUUUUCGUACUGAUGCCCUAUACUCGUAGGUGCAGGUAGGCAAGCUUUCUGUCCCCCUUCUAAGGAUCCUUGAUCAGCGAGAGUUGGCGUGCUCCACUCGAUCCAGAGCUGCUUUAGAUUUUGGUACGAUACGCUUGUAUACAUAAAUGGGUUUGACGUGGCUCAGUCCCGUAUUUGUACUGUUGUAUUGCUAUUAGAGGUGCGUAGAUAGUAUGUCUAGUUGGAUAGUAUGUGGCCUUACCGGUUGGCAGUUUUGAGGUAUACAGUUAUCUAUAGUAGCCUAGUUAGCUCGCCCUACGUCUGUUGCACGUAUAUG
rnacentral:lncRNA from 1 species